rnacentral:rRNA from 1 species
UACGUAGGGGGCUAGCGUUGUCCGGAAUCAUUGGGCGUAAAGCGCGUGUAGGCGGCCCGGUAAGUCCGCUGUGAAAGUCGGGGGCUCAACCCUCGGAUGCCGGUGGAGUACUGUCGGGCUCGAGUACGGAAGAGGCGAGUGGAAUUCCUGGUGUAGCGGGUGAAAUGCGCAGAUAUCAGGAGGAACACCAAUUGCGAAGGCAGCUCGCUGGGACGUUACUGACGCUGAGACGCGAAAGCGUGGGGAGCAAACAGG